AGACCUGGUUUGAAAAAUGACAGAAGGUUCAUGCUUGUGUGGUUUUUUUCUUUUUCAGGUCAGUCACAAAAAUGUUCAAUUUGCCAGGACAUGAUGAAAAAAAUUACUACAUCUUUCAUCAUAAAAGAUUCCCUAAGGGACGGGAAACAGGACCAAAGGCUCCUCAGAGAACCAAAACAGCAUCAGAAAGACAUCUGGAUGCAUCAUAAACCAACCAUCCAUGAAAUACUGAAAACCGGGGGUACAGGCAUUAAGCGGUAACAUGAUGUACCCCUUCUAUUCCUGGGAUGAUGCUCUUCCUACGCAUGGGGCAGCCUCGCUACAAAACAACCACCCGGCCUUAGAGAAAAGCAACUCAUUGUGAAACCGAAGAGUUCGGUCUGCAAAGAAAGGUGGGAAGUCUGCAUUCUCUCUUAGUAAUGAAUCAUACAAAAGACACACAAA